UACGGAGGGUGCUAGCGUUGUUCGGAAUCAUUGGGCGUAAAGCGCGUGUAGGCGGCCCGGUAAGUCCGCUGUGAAAGUCGGGGGGCUCAACCUCGAAUGCCGGUGGAUACUGUCGGGCUAGAGUGCGGGAGAGGCGAGUGGAAUUCCUGGGUGUAGCGGUGAAAUGCGCAGAUAUCAGGAGGAACACCAAUUGCGAAGGCAGCUCGCUGGAACGUAACUGACGCUGAGACGCGAAAGCGUGGGGAGCAAACAGG
rnacentral:rRNA from 1 species